rnacentral:lncRNA from 1 species
GCCUCCCGUCUCCAUGGGAACGAUCUGAGCGUCUACUCCGCGUCCUGGGGCGUCGGUUUCGGUCCCGCCCGGCUGCGGCCGUUGUUUGCUGGGACAGUCCUUGGGCCGGUCUCCGUCCCUGUCCAGAGGCUCCGUACGUGAGGCGGACUCUCGGGAGCACCGAGCCGGGCGCGGAUAAGGGCGAGGACAGCUGUUGCAGGAACGGGGGCAGAAAAGGAGGACCAGGGGCCGAGAAGCCGCUCUGGCUACGAAAUCUCAGACACCGUUGUAAAUGGGUGCUUCACAGCCGCCCGCCCCACGUUAAAACUGAAGAAGAGGUGCAAGGAGGCGGAAGCAGCUUGGGCCUCGGGACCGAGGGCAUUUGCAGUUCACACCCAGUUAGUACGUGAGGACUGCAGUGAGUGUGGAAAUUUCAAGUCUCGCCCAGUCUUCUAUUCUUCCCCCCCAGCUCAGCCUCCUCGACCCUCCACCCUUCCCCAAAAAAGGAGCACAAAGGAGCAAGCAGGGGUCACGCCUUUCCUCACAGUCUGACCCGGGUGAGUAGGGGUCUUGUCUCAUCUCCCUCGACUUCUCCAUGGACUGUGGGAGUAGCUGAAGUGGCUGUGGGGACGGAGGGAGCAGACUGAAUAGAAACCGUUCCUCAUGUGCCUGAGAAGCUUUCGAGCCUCCUCUUCAGCAGGCCCUGCCUCCUGCCCAGGGCCCUUUCUAACAUUUUUCCCACUUACUCAGCCACUUAGGUCUGCUAUAUAGUCCAUACUGCUCUUGGUGACCAGAGAUAAAUAAGCAUGAGAACGUCUUUCCUGGAAGCUGCUGUGUGACACAGCAGGUGAAAGAUCUGACAUCGCCACAGGUGUGGCACCUGCAGCUCCGGUUCCAUCCCUGGCCCAGGAACGUCCACAUGCUGUGGACGUGGCCAAAGGAAAGAAGGCCUUUCCUUCGCCUCGGGGAAAUCAACCACAUGAGGUUAAUAAGAAUUUCUAAAAUUAUCACACAUUAAACAGUUCCAAAAUUAAGUGUCACUUUUAAGCAAAAGGCAGGAACAGGCAUUCAGAUUUGAGUAAAACCAUUGUGAACUGGCGGAUGUCAUUCCCGACAGGAAGCCCAUCAUUUAGUCGCAGGCAGAACAUGAGGAACAAACGAGGAAACCAGGCUAGUUGCAGGAGAGACUAAGUGUGAAUGGGUGAGGAAAGGCCGCGUUGCGGAGGCUCUGGUUUCUUACUCUGUGUACCACUCAGAUUCCGGGGCACACCAACCAGAGGCAGGCAUUGCUGACAUCCAGAUGGAUUUACUUCGUCUUUUAUCUAAUAAUAUACAUACGUACUCACUAAUCCAUACAAAUACUAGCAUGUAUGCACACCAGUACACAUAUGUACAAAUAUGCACAUUUACUUAAGAAAUAUAUAUAUAGAAGGAGAUUAGUAUAUAUAACACGUUUUGAAUCAGACAAAUAGGCUCCAGAGAGCAGCAACGUUCCUGGUGUGUAGAACUAUGCCUGACAUAUGGUGAGCAUUUGUGAAUAUUUGCUGAAUGUAUGAAUGGCUCGUAUAUGUGUAUUUUGCAUUUAACACAUAAAAUGGACAUUUUUCCAAGUAUGUUUUGGUGGCAUGAGUUUUAAGUGACUAUAUAGUCUUCCACUCCAAGCUUUAAAUUCUUUUAUUGGGAAAAAGUUAAGUAUCUAUCAAUAUUUUGCUAUUGUAAACAGCUUCUAAUAACUAUUUUUAUACAUAAUUUAGUAAUUGUGUCUCAAUUUCCUCAAGAUGUGCUCUGGGAAAUAGGAUACCAGAGUGACAGAAUAUAAAGGUGUUUUAGGCUUUUGAAAAACUUUUUUAAAACUACUGCAUGAACUAAUUACUACAACCACUUGAUGAAUGAUCCUCUGUUGCUGAACCUUUACUGGCAUUGAAUAUUAUUUUUAAUUUUUUUCUAAUUUUAAGUGAGAAUUACAACGAUCUUUAAUUUUAUAUUUGUUUAUUUUGCUCUUUAGGGCCGCAUCAGUGGCAUAUGGAGGUUCCCAGGCUAAGGGUCUAAUUGAAGCUGUAGCCACUGGCCUACACCACAGCCAGGCAGGAUCCGAGCCACAUCUGUGACCUACACCACAGCUCACAGCAACACAGAUCCUUAACCUGCUGAGCGAGGCCAGGGAUCGAACCCUCAACCUCAUGGUUCCUAGUUGGAUUCAUUUCCUCUGCACCACAGUGGCAGUGCGAAUAUUAUUUUU